rnacentral:rRNA from 1 species
UACAGAGGUGGCAAGCGUUGUUCGGAAUUACUGGGCGUAAAGGGCGCGUAGGCGGCCUUCUAAGUCGGACGUGAAAGCCUCAGGCUUAACCUGGGAACUGCGUCCGAUACUGGAAGGCUUGGAUUCGGGAGAGGGAUGUGGAAUUCCAGGUGUAGCGGUGAAAUGCGUAGAUAUCUGGAGGAACACCGGUGGCGAAGGCGGCAUCCUGGACCGAGAUCGACGCUGAGGCGCGAAAGCUAGGGGAGCAAACGGG